GAUGAACGCUGGCGGCGUGCCUAAUACAUGCAAGUCGAGCGAACGGACGAGAAGCAUGCUUCUCUGAUGUUAGCGGCGGACGGGUGAGUAACACGUGGAUAACCUACCUAUAAGACUGGGAUAACUUCGGGAAACCGGAGCUAAUACCGGAUGAUAUUUUGAACCGCAUGGUUCAAAAGUGAAAGACGGUCUUGCUGUCACUUAUAGAUGGAUCCGCGCUGCAUUAGCUAGUUGGUAAGGUAACGGCUUACCAAGGCAACGAUGCAUAGCCGACCUGAGAGGGUGAUCGGCCACACUGGAACUGAGACACGGUCCAGACUCCUACGGGAGGCAGCAGUAGGGAAUCUUCCGCAAUGGGCGAAAGCCUGACGGAGCAACGCCGCGUGAGUGAUGAAGGUCUUCGGAUCGUAAAACUCUGUUAUUAGGGAAGAACAUAUGUGUAAGUAACUGUGCACAUCUUGACGGUACCUAAUCAGAAAGCCACGGCUAACUACGUG
rnacentral:rRNA from 1 species